GUGUUUUUAAAAAUAUAACUUUUUUUAUUAUGUAGUAUAUAUAAUUAGAUUUAUUCAACCCGUACAAUACACGGGUUUUUAUUAUUCGGUAUAUAAAAUUACAUUUAUUCAGUACAAUACAUGGGGUUCUUAGAGAUAUAAUUUUUUAUUAUUUAAUAUAUAAAAUUACAUUUGUUCAACCUGUGUAAUAAACGAGAUUUUUAAAGAAUAAUUAUUUUAAUUUAGUAUAUAAAAUUACAUAUAUUCAACCCGUGUAAUACACGGGGUUCUAAUCUAGUAAAUACGCUAUAAAAAACUUAGAAAUCAUUCUAUAUGAGGUUAACCCAAUUUAAAUCAUUGAACAAUUACCUUAAGCAUAACCCUCAUGCCAGCAAGAUCACGGGCAUAGAAAUCACCUUCCUCCAACUCUGGUCUAUCUUCAUCUAAUACAAGUAUAGUUGACCCAACAAGCUGUUGAGCCUACAAAAUUGCAGAAAUUAAAAAAGAAAAUAUAUAGCGGUUAUGAUCAAUAAACAAUGAGAUGCCAACAUUACUUUAAUUAUCAUGACUCUAGUAAGAGUUUAACUUUGCAUAAUUUUUUUCUCAAGUUUCGUAACAUAAUUCAUUGAUCUGCUAACUUAUGAUGAGAUCUUAACUUUACAUUAUUAGAAGAAAAAAAAAAAACAGAUAGUAAGCAUACCUGCUCUACUUUGUCAACAUUGUUAAAUUUAACUAUCCAACUCUUCUGUCCAUGGUGUCCUCUUCCCUCCAACAAUUCAACUUCUUUAAUUAUUUCUCUACCCAACAUUUGUUGCUUCAACCAUCUUUUUCCCGGCUAUAUACAACAUAAAAUCUACUAAGAAACAUUAAAAAAACACAGAAAGAUAGAUUCCAAGUAAGAGCUAAUACUACCUUUAUCCCAAAAAUAGAGUCCAGUUUUAAAAUGGUUGGGUGUGUAACAAGUAAAGUUUUAAUUUCAAAUUAAGUAAUUGACAUUUGAGCCACUGUACUUGGCUUUUUGUUCCAUUAUUCUUAUGAAAAAAAAAACAAAUUCAGUAAGUUUAAGUAAUUUUUAAACAAAGAGUACCAAUUACGAUGGUGUUUAUGCAGAAUGCCAGAAUAGCUCAUUCUUGCAUAUAUUAGUGCGUUUUUUUGGCUCUUUUGCAAAAACUAAAGUUUGUUUGCAAGCAAAAGCCACAUAUGGUGACUAAACAAUCCAAUUACUCACAUCAUAAGACUGAAUUUUGUAGGGGUUGUAGAAGCAUUUGAUAGCUAAACCAAAAGCAAAGAAAUGACUUGACUUACUACUACAUAAAAGGAUUGAUUUUGAUAAUCAUACUAACUUACAAUAUGGAGUUUGAAUUCGAAAGUAAAUAAGUAUGAAUCAUAUAAAAAGAACAAAAUAAAAAUGAUUCUAGUUAUGGAACAUGGGAGGGAAAUAGAGGUAUUUCAGACCAACCCGUACCUCUGAAAACCUCAAUUCUGGAAAAUCCGUGUUAGGCUUCACUCGAACCUCUCCUUGUAGUCCAUGAACACUAGAUAUGUACCCGAUCUCAACAUAUUGUGACUCUAUCUCACUAGCUUCAACAACAGUCUCUUGAGUAGCUGAAACUAUUCAUUUCAAGACUUUUGAUUCAAACAAAUACUCAUUUAACAUUAUGAAAAAGUAUUUUGAUCUACAACAGUCACUUCCAAUUGCUGGCUAUGAAUUGAUUUGAAGCCAACCAGUGGGUCACCUACAGGCUACAGAGCAUAUAGGCUUUCCUUCCAUAAUGCUCUUCCUUCUUUCUUUGAUAUAACAACAAGUAAAUGAAUGGUUCAUCAUCUUUUAACUGCUUUGUGUUUAUCCUUCCUUCCUAGUCUCCAAGCCUCAUAAACCUAAUCCUAAAUGGAUUGAUUCAUCCGUCAUACCAAAAUCACUACACAUACCUACUUGUAUCAAAUCCCUAAAUAUCUAAAAACAAAACCCAAUAAUCCAAUCAAAUUGUGCAUAACAAAGCAUGAAAUUAAACCUUAUAACUUCAAAAGAGUUACAGGAAGAAAGAAGUUACCAGUAGCACGCAGAGAAGAUGUGCGAAUUGGAUGAAGUUUCAUACAAGUGUUGAUGUGUCGACUGAAACAUUUAGAAUUUCUGAAAGAAGCUGAGAAAUUAAGAGGAUAUUGGAGAAGCGGAAGUGAAGUAGGAAGAGAGGUGGAAGCACAUAGAUGAGUAAAACUCUCCAUUAUUGGUUUCACUCUUCCUGUUCAGAUAUAUAACUGAUAAACCAGAAGAAGAAGAAAGACGCACACACUGAAAUUGGUGUGGUGUGUGUUAAUUUAGGCUAGGAUACUAUUUUUAGCCCUUCAACUUUUGUCUAAUGUCAUUUAGCGUGUUGGAUUUUGGGUCUAACCGUUGUUAACUAUGGUGACUAGACUGGAUUAUAUCAAGAGGGAUUUAGAGUUUCUUUAUAACUGGUUCCUACAUUGA
rnacentral:lncRNA from 1 species